UACGUAGGGUGCGAGCGUUAUCCGGAAUUAUUGGGCGUAAAGAGCUCGUAGGCGGUUUGUCACGUCUGCUGUGAAAGCCCAGGGCUUAACCCUGGGUUUGCAGUGGGUACGGGCAGGCUAGAGUGAUGUAGGGGAGACUGGAAUUCCUGGUGUAGCGGUGAAAUGCGCAGAUAUCAGGAGGAACACCGAUGGCGAAGGCAGGUCUCUGGGCAUUAACUGACGCUGAGGAGCGAAAGCAUGGGGAGCGAACAGG
rnacentral:misc_RNA from 1 species